GAUGAACGCUGGCGGCGUGCUUAACACAUGCAAGUCGAACGAAGCACUUUAUUUGAUUUCCUUCGGGAUUGAUUAUUUUGUGACUGAGUGGCGGACGGGUGAGUAACGCGUGGGUAACCUGCCUUGUACAGGGGGAUAACAGUUGGAAACGGCUGCUAAUACCGCAUAAGCGCACAGCAUCGCAUGAUGCAGUGUGAAAAACUCCGGUGGUAUAAGAUGGACCCGCGUUGGAUUAGCUAGUUGGUGAGGUAACGGCCCACCAAGGCGACGAUCCAUAGCCGACCUGAGAGGGUGACCGGCCACAUUGGGACUGAGACACGGCCCAAACUCCUACGGGAGGCAGCAGUGGGGAAUAUUGCACAAUGGGCGAAAGCCUGAUGCAGCGACGCCGCGUGAGCGAAGAAGUAUUUCGGUAUGUAAAGCUCUAUCAGCAGGGAAGAUAAU
rnacentral:rRNA from 1 species